rnacentral:rRNA from 1 species
GCCUCAACGGCGAGUGAAGCGGCAGCAGCUCAAAUUUGAAAGCCGGCCCGGCCCGCGUUGUAAUUUGCAGAGGACGCUUCUGGCCCGGCCCCCUCCGAGUCCCCUGGAACGGGGCGCCGCAGAGGGUGAGAGCCCCGUACGGUCGGGCGCCGGGCCAGUGUGAAGCUCCUUCGACGAGUCGAGUAGUUUGGGAAUGCUGCUCUAAACGGGAGGUAAAUUCCUUCUAAGGCUAAAUACCGGCUGGAGACCGAUAGCGCACAAGUAGAGUGAUCGAAAGAUGAAAAGCACUUUGAAAAGAGGGUUAAACAGCACGUGAAAUUGUUGAAAGGGAAGCGCCCGUGGCCAGACUUGGGCCGGCCGAUCACCCGGCGUUCUCGCCGGUGCACUCGGCCCGGCGCAGGCCAGCAUCGGCUUCCGCGGGGGGACAAAGGCCCCGGGAACGUAGCUCCCUCGGGAGUGUUAUAGCCCGGGGGAAUGCCCCCGCGGGGGCCGAGGUACGCGCUCCGCAAGGAUGCUGGCGUAAUGGCCACCGGCGACCCGUCUUGAAACACGGACCAAGGAGUCAAGGUUUUGCGCGAGUGUUUGGGUGUCAAACCCGCACGCGAAAUGAAAGUGAACGCUGGUGGGAGCCUCGGCGCACCACCGACCGAUCCUGAUGUUCUCGGAUGGAUUUGAGUAGGAGCGCAGUGCCUUGGACCCGAAAGAUGGUGAACUAUGCUUGGAUAGGGUGAAGCCAGAGGAAACUCUGGUGGAGGCUCGCAGCGGUUCUGACGUGCAAAUCGAUCGUCAAAUCUGAGCAU